AUGCAAAAGAGAAAAGAUCACCUGGAUUCUUCUGGAGCUGGGAGUCAGGGCCAGAACUCUCCAGGAAAGCUGCCCAAGGAACAAGAAGAGGAUCUCACCUCUCCAGAGCUCCAUCCCACCUGGAGCUCCAGGGAUUCCAUGAACACCAGUGGAGGAUUUUCUGUUGCUGGAAGCCACAGGAUGGAUGAGGAAUGGGAUAAAACCCAAAAUAUUUUGGUUGGAUCCCAGGAAGUUGCAC
rnacentral:lncRNA from 1 species